rnacentral:rRNA from 1 species
AUGCCACGUGCUGAUGGUCCCUUUAAGGUGUUAGAGAAAAUAAAUGAUAAUGCAUAUAAACUUGAGCUGCCUGCAGAUUUUGGGGUUAGUCCCACUUUUAACAUUGCAGAUUUGAAGCCUUAUUUGGGUGAGGAAGAUGCACUUCCGUCGAGGACGACUUCAUUUCAAGAAGGGGAGGAUGAUGAGGACAUCAAUACAAUUGUUACACCCACAGCCCCUGCUGCUAUACAUACUGGACCAAUUACUAGAGCUCGUGCACGCCAACUAAAUUACCAGGUACUUUCGUUUCUUGGUAAUGAUUCUAAUGUUCAUGAGAAUAUGAUGCUGCCUAAAUUGGAUACAUUUGUUUUGCUUACAAAUGAAGGGCCUAGCUUGGAGAAGGAUGAACAUUGGAGCAAGAACAAGCAUGGAGAUGAUGGCAUGCGCAAGGGGAACAAGAACGGAGUUACAAGUGAUGAUUUCAGGACUUUGAAGCCACCAUAA